rnacentral:misc_RNA from 1 species
UCGGCUAUGGCAGCCUUGUG